rnacentral:lncRNA from 7 species
AAACACCAGCACACGGCAGCUGCCCAGGGGAGUCAUCUUUCCUUUUCUUCAUUUCCAGAAAGGGAGGAAAAUGGAUUCCCUGACACACGCUCUGUUUUUCACAUGAAUAAGGAAUAACAACCCCAGCACAGAUAACUCGUAGCUGCUGUAGGUGAACAAGAACAGCAGCAACACUGAGACGUGUGAGAAGGAGUAUAGGAAACCUGUGUGGAGAACAAGAAGAGGGAAAGAAAGGAAGGGGAGUAGGAGAGUGGAAAGAAGAGCUGGGGUUAUCCCAUCUGGAGAACAACAUUCAGCUAAGGCACUGUAGCACCAAGCAGCCUGGCGUGUUUCCAGCAACAGGGUAACCAGGAAAAAAAAACAGACUCUAUAACCCCAGUCAGGAUUUUCAGUUAGUUCAUCUCCUAGACCUUAAUUACUUCAAUGAGUUUGGAGUCUUGAUCUUUAAAAUCAAACUAGAGAAAGAAAACCUCCAAGAUAAUGAGACAAACCAGACAAAACAGCUUUGAAAACAAUCUCUGAAACACUGCCUCAGCCAUGCCUUCUAGGAAUUUGGUGAGGAGCAGAUCCUGAAGUUGAAGGCUGAACAUAGAGUUCCUGAAUGUAUGAAGUCUGGGCACCAUUUUCCAACUUUUCCUUUCAAGCAAAGUUUCUUCCGCAUUGCCUGUGACACAGGCCAUUCUUUGCAGUAAAAACUCAAGAAGCUUUGUGACACCAGAUGUAAUCACCACUGUCCAGUUCCUCAGUCCUGCUGACACUGGGAACACUGGUACCACAAGAGACCAAAUGUCAAUUCUGUAAUACAUCAGAGCUGUAAAGCACAGCCACAAAGGUCUCCUGUUGAUUGAGACAAGAAAAAUCCAAACCUAGGGCAAUUUUAGAAUGCAGAUAUUAAGUGUGAAAUAUAAUUUAAGUGAUAAGAAGAUUUGAAGGAAAAUAUCAUAAAAUCAUUAAGGCCUGAAAAGACCACUAAGACCACCUUGUCCAGCCAUCAACCCACCAUAAGAAAAAAAAAAAAUCAAGCGAUGAACCACACUCUUCCCACAGUGUUGUCACUAUGAGAAGGCAACCCUUGCCUCCAGCAGGUGGAUCUAACCUGCCAUCCCCUUCAAAUAUCACAGAAGCAACAAUUUGGCAUAAAACAAAAGGGAUUUUUCAAACAAGCAUGAAAACAUUCAAGACAUUUAAGAGGAGACAAGCUUCUAGGAUUUAGCAACAAAAAUGUGGUAGAGAACAAGGAUUUGGAGUUUGGUAGGUAAAGUUACUAUAGACAGCUUUGGAUGGAUCUUCAGUAGGGAUGGCUUAACAACAGGAGUUUCUCAACAGGCAUCCCAAACUUCAAAAGCCCAGUCUGGCUAUUUCUCCCAGCCUUGGGUUGUGCAAAUGGCUGCAAAAACUUGGCAACUGAAGUCCAUUUUACAGAGAGCAAGUGUGAUCACACAUACCACCAGCAGGACUUCCCAGAUGCAAAGAGAAGACAAGAUUGGGAAUCCCAUGCGGGGGUGGUGAUGGCUCUUCCCUGGUGAACAGGGUUUACUGACAAAGGUGAAAUCUUGACAAUUUCCUGGGUGCUGCCUGGAUGGAUACAGAGGUUAUGUGGGCUGUGAUACUGCAGGCUGUGUCCAAAAGAAGCCCAAAGUACAGGAGGACGAUAAAUGUUAGGCGAGAGCCAGGCACAGAGGCAACCUUUAUGCAGUUUGCAACUCCUUCUGUUGGUACAUGCUUCUGGAGGACAAAGCAGCAGCUCUGCCAGCAUGAUUUCACACCACCUCACUUGAACCAGGAGCAGGUUACCAUCAUUUGUCACAAAACCUCCUAGAUGCCUCAGUUUCACAUGUAUUUCACUCAUUCUUUCUAGUUUGCUGUUUCUAGACCUUCAUAUAGUAAGUACUUGCAAUGAAUGUGUUCUCAUUUAACAUUAUUCUGUAAAACAAAACAGGCUUUUCUACUUUCAGCUACCUAAAAAAGUACCUUUUGGGUAUAUCGAACAAGGAAGGUAAGAACACAGGUUACAAUACAGUUGUUAAAGUAACCACAUUCAUACAAUGAAUAAGUAUUGAUUUCUCCAUCAACCAUAGCUUUCCCUCUUUCUGUUCAUGUAUUCCAUCUUUCUGAAUUGCAUGCAUUUUCACUGUAAAAAAAAUAAAUGAGUAUAUAUAUUUG